rnacentral:lncRNA from 1 species
UAUUUUUCAUAGUAAAUUUUUUAAUUAAUAUUCGAUAAUCCUCUACUCUCUAGGUUGUACUGUAUGUGUAUGUAUCUUGAAUAUAUGGCAUAGAUUUUAGAUUGUAGUAUCAUAGUAUUUACAUCUAAUAACAAGUUAAAAUAAAUAAAUAAAAACAACAUUGUUUCAUUGUAUACGUGAUAAAUCCGCAUUCCACAAAAAUAUGUGGCGGGCCAAUUAGAAAACUGCGAAGAGGUACGAGCCUAACCCUUGGCCCAUGAAUAAAAUAUGGUAGUGGACAGGAAACAACUUCCCCUAAAAUCCUUAUAACACCCCUCUUAAAAUUUU